UACAGAGGGUGCAAACGUUGUUCGGAAUUACUGGGCGUAAAGCGCGUGUAGGCGGCUCUGUAAGUCGGGUGUGAAAUCCCACGGCUCAACCGUGGAAGUGCACUCGAAACUACAGGGCUAGAGUCCUGGAGAGGAAGGUGGAAUGCUUGGUGUAGAGGUGAAAUUCGUAGAUAUCAAGCGGAACACCGGUGGCGAAGGCGGCCUUCUGGACAGUGACUGACGCUGAGACGCGAAAGCGUGGGGAGCAAACAGG
rnacentral:rRNA from 1 species